CAAAAGGGGCAUUGCUUAGUACGGCGAGUGAGCGGCAAAAGCUCAAAUUUGAAAGCUAGCACCUUCGGUGUUCGCGUUGUAAUUUGAAGAUAGUUUCCUUGAGUAGUCCUUUAUCUAUGUUCCUUGGAACAGGACGUCAUAGAGGGUGAGAACCCCGUAUGAUUUUGGAUACUACUC
rnacentral:rRNA from 1 species